GUUGACGGGGAGCACCACAACGGGUGGAGCUUGCGGUUUAAUUGGAUUCAACGCCGGAAAUCUUACCGGGACCGACAGCAAUAUGAAGGCCAGGCUGAAGACUUUGCCGGAUUAGCUGAGAGGUGGUGCAUGGCCGUCGUCAGUUCGUACUGUGAAGCAUCCUGUUAAGUCAGGCAACGAGCGAGACCCACGCCCACAGUUGCCAGCGUACUCUCUGGAGUGACGGGUACACUGUGGGGACCGCCGCUGCUAAAGCGGAGGAAGGAAUGGGCAACGGUAGGUCAGUAUGCCCCGAAUAUCCCGGGCUACACGCGAGCUACAAUGGUUGGUACAAUGGGUAUCUACCCCGAAAGGGGACGGGAAUCUCCUAAACCCAUCCGUAGUUCGGAUUGUGGGCUGCAACUCGCCCACAUGAAGCUGGAAUCUGUAGUAAUCGUGUCUCAAAAUGGCACGGUGAAUAUGUCCCUGCUCCUU
rnacentral:rRNA from 1 species